UCGCAAGACACUUGAAGAUGAGCCCGCGUAAGAUUAGCUAGUUGGUGAGGUAACGGCUCACCAAGGCAAUGAUCUUUAGCUGGUCUGAGAGGAUGAUCAGCCACACUGGAACUGAGACACGGUCCAGACUCCUACGGGAGGCAGCAGUAGGGAAUAUUGCGCAAUGGGGGAAACCCUGACGCAGCGACGCCGCGUGAGUGAUGAAGGCCUUCGGGUCGUAAAGCUCUGUUAUAUGGGAAUAAGAUCUG
rnacentral:rRNA from 1 species